AGAAGACUCCUCAAUAAAAAGAACACUACUCAGCAAGUGGAAGGAGUACACAGGAUUGAGCCCUAAGAAAGGCAAGCUUCUGAAAACUUGUAGCUGUUUGAAAUAGAAAGUCUCCAGAAUGACUAGAACCAUCUUGGCGGAGUGACACCUAAAGAUACAAACUGCAGGCAUCCGGACCUGAUAUAUAAAAUCCUCUAUGUUGAGCCUGAGUCUGAUGUUGGAAUGGAAUCACAUGGUGAAGGCAAUGUUUGGUUACAUGCAGGAUUGUAUUAUGGGUUGUACUGUGUCCUCCUAAAGUUAUGCUGGUAUCUUAACUACCAGUACCUCAGAAAUAUGAUCUUUUUGGAAAUAAUGUUGUAAAUGGAAUUAAUUAAGAUGGGGUCACAGUGGGGUAGGGUGCAUGGCCCCAUAAUCCAUUGUAACUGGUAUGAAGAGACACAAGAGGGAGAACACGGCCAUGUGAGAAUGGAGACAGAGAUUAUAGGGAAGCAUCUGCAAGUCAAAGAACACCCAGGAUUUCAACUUCAAGAACCAGAAGAGGCAAUGCAGGAUACUUCUGCUUAGGUUUCAGAAGCACCAUGGUCCUGCUCAAAACUUGAAUUUUUCUUCUGGCCUCCAGAACUACUGUGAGACAACAAAUUCCUACUGAUUUAAGUCACCCAGUUAGUGGUAUUUCUUAUGGCAGCCCUAGGAAACUGAUAUGGCAGUGUGUAUAUUUUUGUCUGUGGGAAAGAUAUAAAUAAUCUGUAGCCAGAGGGAGAACUAUGGUAGAUUAAAAGUGACUAUAAAUUUUUUGCCACACCUCUCAGUAGGAGGGAUGGUUUAUUUUUUCCUCCUCUUGAAUCUGGCUGACCUUAUGAUUUUAUUUGACCAAUAAAAUGUGAAGGGGAUGAUUUUGUUUAACUUCAGUGACUUGGCCUUAGAGAUCCUCAGUUUCUGCUUUUGUACAAUGGGAAUAUUUUCUCUUUCACCAUAUAGAGAGAAGCCCAGAUGACAGAGAGAGAUCACAUGGAGGGGAGCUGAGAUGAUCUGGUUGAUGGCCCCAGAAAAGCUUCAUGCUAACACACUAGCAUUACC
ensembl:lncRNA